rnacentral:rRNA from 1 species
UUCCGGUUGAUCCUGCCGGAGGUCAUUGCUAUCGGGGUUCGAUUUAGCCAUGCUAGUCGUGCGGGUUCAGACCCGCGGCGUAUAGCUCAGUAACACGUGGCCAAACUACCCACCAGACGAGAAUAACCUCGGGAAACUGAGGCUAAUGCUCGAUACGCGUUGCCAGUUUGAAGACGGCAACGACCAAACGCUUCGGCGCUGGUGGAUGUGGCUGCGGCCGAUUAGGUAGAUGGUGGGGUAACGGCCCACCAUGCCGAUAAUCGGUACGGGUUGUGAGAGCAAGAGCCCGGAGACGGAAUCUGAGACAAGAUUCCGGGCCCUACGGGGCGCAGCAGGCGCGAAACCUUUACACUGCACGCCAGUGCGAUAAGGGGAUCCCGAGUGCGCAGGCAUAGAGCCUGCGCUUUUCUGAACUGUAGGGAGGUUCAGGAAGAAGAGCUGGGCAAGACCGGUGCCAGCCGCCGCGGUAAUACCGGCAGCUCGAGUGAUGGCCGAUCUUAUUGGGCCUAAAGCGUCCGUAGCUGGCCUGGCAAGUCCGUCGGGAAAUCCACCCGCUCAACGGGUGGGCGUCCGGCGGAAACUGCGAGGCUUGGGACCGGGAGGCUUGAAGGGUACGUCCGGGGUAGGAGUGAAAUCCCGUAAUCCUGGACGGACCGCCGAUGGGGAAACCACUUCAAGAGAACGGAUCCGACAGUGAGGGACGAAAGCUAGGGUCUCGAACCGGAUUAGAUACCCGGGUAGUCCUAGCUGUAAACGAUGCCUGUUAGGUGUGACUCCCACUACGAGUGGGUGUUGUGCCGUAGGGAAGCCGCUAAACAGGCCGCCUGGGAAGUACGUCUGCAAGGAUGAAACUUAAAGGAAUUGGCGGGGGAGCA